CUGUCCUGGCUUGGAGCUGCAGAGAGACAGCCGCCACGUGGGAAGAGGCUGCUGUCUGUGCUCCAGCCACUCCCACUGUCCCCGUGGGCCCAACCAGGACAGGCUCUUCCUUGGCCCAGGCCAAGGGUAGUGAGAACUGGAGGGAGAAAGGAGGAGGGCGUCUGCGGCCUGUUUCCUGAGCCACCCAGUGGCUGGAACAGGGAGGCUGGCUCUCCUCUGGGUGGCCACCGGAUAGGAUGGGCUGCUUGUUCCCUGCACAACCCUAGGGGGCACCGUUCCCAUCCCGCAAACCCUUACGCUGUGGCCGCGCCAAGAGGCCAGUCUCUCACCUACUGGCUGGUGCCGAUGGGGAAGAUGUUGGCGACAAAGGAUUUAGAUGGGAGAGAUGUUCCAGAAACGGGCCAAGGGGAGAGCUGGGGGCCUGCUAGCUGCCAAGUGGCAAGGGAUCCAGGAAAAGGCACAGGAUUGCAGAAGUGCUCCCGAGCAAUCUGUGUAUUCUGCAAUUAAGAAGGGGGGCCGGUGGUGAACUUGGCCCGGGUCCCCUAGCCCCUGGCUACUGAAACAGCAGCAGCCGUCACCCGUCACCCAGGAGCUUGUCAGAAAUGCAGAAUCUCCGGCUCCACCACAGAGCUGGGAAUCAGAAUCUUCCUUUUAACAAGAACCUGCGGUGAUUGUGAUUCAUUUGAGAAGCCCUACCCCAGAGUCCUGCUCUCAGACCUGCCAGGCCACUUUCCCUGGGCUCUCUGAACUGGGCGGGGGACAUCACUUCAGACCUGUGGGCGCAGCAGUGGUCCAAGGUCCGGUCUCUCACAGGUCUCUCUCGGGUUCUGGAGCCCUUGCAAUCCCCCUUCCCGGGCACGACUGAUUGGCCCUGAAGUGGCCCUAGCUCUCAAGUCAGAUUCUUUGGACCCGUCAGGCUCCUGGGCGGUCAGAGGAGAAUGGGUGCACUGGAGGGGCAGGGGCUCAGCUGGGACUGGGAGGCCCCAGGCACAUCUCCUCCCCUGUAAACCGGCCUGGCGCUGCAGAAGCAGCCCCAGAUCAGUGACCCUCAGUGUCACUUGCUGUUUGGAGUUUUUGGGUUUCUGGUGUUGGGCAGGGGAGGCCCUUUCACUGGUGGGGGACCUGUGUGGCCACACCUGGGGAUAGUCUGAUGGGUACUCUCAGGGGGGGCGUUGUUGACAAGCCCAUGGGGGGGGGCCCUUCCCCUGAUCAUGCUCCUCACUCCUGACUCUGUUCGGGGAACCUUUAUUCCCCAGGUUUUCAGGGACCUCCGUUGGGGGAGAGGGAGAAACAAAAGAGACAAGAGCGUUGCUCUUCCUUGUGGCCUGUAGACCAGAGGAGGGCGCUGUGUGAGGCUGCACAGGUCUGGGGGUCAGGGUCUGCUCUAGGGUCCUGGUCCUAGCAGGAGGCCUGGUACUAAGGGUCUCCGUCAGCUCCUUCCCCGCAGAGAUGGCCAGGUAAAGCUGUCAUCACUGGUGAGCUGACAGUGUGCCCCCUCGCUCCUCAGCCACGCCCGGGCCCCGUGGUGGGCUUUUGUGCCCCUGCCUGCCCGGCUCAGGCCAGGCUUGUUCAUCUGGGCCAAGGGAACAGCACAUGGGGCCCACCGGGGGCCUGCCAGGCCCAGGGCUUGCUCUCAUUCUCUUGUGUCACCUUUUACAGAGCCCGGCAGGCAAAUGCCAUCUGGGGAGCUUGGCAAUUACAAUGAAAAAACAACUGAUACUGAGCUCAGUAAACACUGUGACCUCACA